GAUGAACGCUGGCGGCGUGCUUAACACAUGCAAGUCGAACGAUGAAGCUCAGCUUGCUGGGUGGAUUAGUGGCGAACGGGUGAGUAACACGUGAGUAACCUGCCCUUAACUCUGGGAUAAGCCUGGGAAACUAGGUCUAAUACCGGAUAGGAGCGCCUACCGCAUGGUGGGUGUUGGAAAGAUUUAUCGGUUUUGGAUGGACGCGCGGCCUAUCAGCUUGUUGGUGAGGGAAUGGCUGACCAAGGCGACGGCGGGUAGCCGGCCUGGGAGGGUGACCGGCCACACUGGGACUGAGACACGGACCAGACUCCUACGUGAGGCAGCAGUGGGGAAUAUUGCACAAUGGGCGAAAGCCUGAUGCAGCGACGCCGCGUGAGGGAUGACGGCCUUCGGGUUGUAAACCUCUUUCAGUAGGGAAGAAGCGAAAGUGACGGUACCUGCAGAAGAAGCACCGGCUAACUACGUG
rnacentral:rRNA from 1 species